GCAUAUCAAUAAGCGGAGGAAAAGAAACCAACAGGGAUUGCCCCCAGUAACGGCGAGUGAAGCGGCAACAGCUCAAAUUUGAAAUCUGGCCCCCUAGGGGUCCGAGUUGUAAUUUGUAGAGGAUGCUUUUGGCAAGGUGCCGCCCGAGUUCCCUGGAACGGGACGCCACAGAGGGUGAGAGCCCCGUCUGGCUGGCCACCGAGCCUCUGUAAAGCUCCUUCGACGAGUCGAGUAGUUUGGGAAUGCUGCUCAAAAUGGGAGGUAUAUGUCUUCUAAAGCUAAAUACUGGCCAGAGACCGAUAGCGCACAAGUAGAGUGAUCGAAAGAUGAAAAGCACCUUGAAAAGAGGGUUAAAUAGUACGUGAAAUUGUUGAAAGGGAAGCGCUUGUGACCAGACUUGGGCGCGGCGGAUCAUCCGGGGUUCUCCCCGGUGCACUUCGCCGCGUUCAGGCCAGCAUCAGUUCGUCGCGGGGGAUAAAGGCUUCGGGAACGUGGCUCCUCCGGGAGUGUUAUAGCCCGUUGCAUAAUACCCUGCUUUGGACUGAGGACCGCGCUUCUGCAAGGAUGCUGGCGUAAUGGUCACCAGCGACCCGUCUUGAAACACGGACCAAGGAGUCGUCUUCGUAUGCGAGUGUUCGGGUGUCAAACCCCUACGCGGAAUGAAAGUGAACGCAGGUGAGAGCUUCGGCGCAUCAUCGACCGAUCCUGAUGUUCUCGGAUGGAUUUGAGUAAGAGCAUACGGGGCCGGACCCGAAAGAAGGUGAACUAUGCCUGUAUAGGGUGAAGCCAGAGGAAACUCUGGUGGAGGCUCGCAGCGGUUCUGACGUGCAAAUCGAUCGUCAAAUAUGGGCAUGGGGGCGAAAGACUAAUCGAACCUUCUAGUAGCUGGUUUCCGCGA
rnacentral:rRNA from 1 species